GUGAGGAAUCUUCCACAAUGGGCGAAAGCCUGAUGGAGCAACGCCGCGUGAAGGAUGAAGGUCUUCGGAUUGUAAACUUCUUUUAUGAGUGAAGAAUAUGACGGUAACUCAUGAAUAAGCACCGGCUAACUACGUGCCAGCAGCCGCGGUCAUACGUAGGGUGCAAGCAUUAUCCGGAGUGACUGGGCGUAAAGAGUUGCGUAGGCGGUUAUGUAAGCGAAUAGUGAAACCUGGUGGCUCAACCACAUAGACUAUUAUUCGAACUGCAUAACUCGAGAAUGGUAGAGGUAACUGGAAUUUCUUGUGUAGGAGUGAAAUCCGUAGAUAUAAGAAGGAACACCAAUGGCGUAGGCAGGUUACUGGGCCAUUUCUGACGCUAAGGCACGAAAGCGUGGGGAGCGAACCGGAUUAGAUACCCUUGUAGUCC
rnacentral:rRNA from 1 species